UAAGUCAGCCACGAAUAGGCUAUCCCAACUAACGGCGGGAAAGACUCCACGGAGGGUGUAAGACCCGUGUGGGCGCGUGUUAAAGCUGUGUGGGCUCGGCCUCCAUUCCCUGAGAGUCGCGUUGCUUGAGCAUGCAGCGCUAAGCAGGUCGUAAACUCGAUCUAAGGCUAAAUAUUUCCACAGAACCGAUAGCGAACAAGUACCGUGAGGGAAAGUUGAAAAGCACUCUGGAGAGAGAGUCAAAAGACCGUGAAACCGCUCAGAGUAUAAGCCCAUGGCAGCUUGGAAGGCAUAUCGCUAGCGGGGCAUCGGUCUCCCUUCGCGGGGAGCUGGUGUUACCUUGCUUCUGUUGUGGCUCGUCAUGGUAGGGGGGUCAGGUCCACAUCCCGCCGUCGUGUGGAGAGUUCUUGGGUGUGUUGUGGUUUCUCGGUUGGCUUCGGCUUUCCGGGGGGCUCUUCGUACUUGGUUCUCUUUUAGACACGGACGUUCAGACUCAGUUGCAAGACGCGAUAACCAGCCCACCACGGCACGUUGUGAGGUCACCCACAGGCUCGACUUUCGAUCGUGAGCCUUGACGCCGAGCAAGCACAAUGCGUGUCGCAGAGGUUCCUAACCAGGCAAUGGUGCCAGGAUCGUGGAACGACACGCGCUCAACAGUCAGGUUCGGGCGGAGACAGAGUUCUGGUAUGAUCCUCUUGCGACGAGCCGGCUUCUGGCCGACAUCCGAUGCUCAGGUCUCCCGCAUGUGCCGCGGGAGAUCGCUUUGACGGUCUGGA
rnacentral:rRNA from 1 species